GAAUCUAUCAGUUUAUGUGUGCACAGUAUAGCGGUGUGGUUUUCAGCCGAUCACCAAAACCAACCCAGCACUGGAUAUUUUCCCUUUUUAUCCCUUAUUAAACUUUUAAAAUUCUAAAGAGUGAACUUUGUCUUUCACAAAGGACUGGCCAGAGUUGUGACAGUGGCUUCUGUGAAAAAUAUUGUGUGCUGCUACAGCUCUGCUUUGCCAUAAGGACAGAAAAGGCAAGAGAAACACUAGGGGAUUUUAAAAUUGCCCUUUUUACCUUUAGGACAGUGUAUUACAUCCAAAAAGAUGAAUGCAGAUGGCUUUGGAUGUGACACUUAAUGGAAAUAAGAUGCAAAAAGUAUUCCAGGGCAUGAAAUCUCCCCAUAUUUUCAGUGAAGUCUCUUUUGGCAAGAAAAGCUGAUUUUUCAGUCCUGGGAUGCAGAGUGUGUUGUCUGUCGCUGGGGUUUUAUCCUCACGCUGAGUUUGGACUGCCUGGCCAAAGGACAGAGGUUUUGUCUUCUCUCCCAUUUGAUGAAGUGCAGUGAUCUUGUGUCCCUUGGAACAGAGAGCUCUUGUGCUGAUCUCUACAUUGAACACAAAGAAGGAUUGGCCAGAUGGAUGCAGGAGAGUAAUAAAUGCAUUGCUGCAGUGGAGUGUAAAGCAGAGUGGAAUAAACAUCUCUGCCUACACAUUGUUCACGUUUAAAAUUCAGUUGUUUGCUGAGUGGGCUGCUCGGGGCCGGCUCUUUUCUUGUAGUUUGCUGCAAGAAAUUAAAAUAAUUCACAUGGGAUAAACAUUUCUUUUACCUUUUCUGCCCAUACAAAUGAGAGCAGCGAUCAGAGGGAGGUGUGAGUGGAAGGGCAAUUAUCCCACUGCAGGAGGUGGGAGUCAGCUCAAUGCCAGGAGCUCAUGGAGGCAGGAAUCAGGAAUUAUGCAAUGAUGGAAUUCUGUGCCGUUUAGAUCAGCCAAAGCUGCCUAAAACUUUCCAGCCCAGAGGUUCACCUUGCACUGGCUGCUCUGAGGUGUUUCCUUCUCGAGAAGAUAAUGUGGCAGCCAGGCUGAGGGAGAUCAGGGUCUGGAAAGAUCUGGAAAAUAAAGAGAGAUUUCAUGCUCUGGGUUGUAAAUCGUGGGGGAAACAGGGCUGGGAGAAACAUUACCUUUUCUUUAAAAUUCUAAUCAACAUGCACAGAGAAUAACACAGAAUAACUGAGAAUAACCCAGAUCCCCACAGCUCUCACUAAAUGCUUUGAUUAUUUAUCAUCGCCCGUUUUUUAUGGGAAGAGUUGACAUUAGAUUAUUAGUGACCUGAGUGGUAUUUGAUUUUUUUUCCCCUUGGAGGUUAAAGACUUUGUAGUUUCCUGUUCUAGGUCCUUUUUAAAAUUCAUUUUAGAGCAUGAAAAAUAUAUUGUUCAGUCAAGUUUAUUUCUCUGACAUUUAUUCAGAGCAGAGUGUGAUCCUAAUAUUAAAGGUUUUUGAUGUGAAGCCCGGGAUACAAACAAGGCUUUUCAGUGGUCUUCCCUAAAACAGGGACAUUUCAUCAGUGCCUGGGAAGUUAAUAUGUUGGAACAGCAUAAUUAUUUGAAGGAGUGUUUGUUUUUCAAGGAUCUGUGGGUGAUAUUAGAUGGCUCAGCCCAGUUGUGUCACAAGGUAUUAAGGUUUCUGCCUGCUAAAGUCAUGGAGCUGGGCCUAUAUAGAGCCAUAAAUAAAAUUGUGUGAGAGCCAGUGACAGACUCUGACUGCAGCUCAACUCUUUAUCACAUGUUAUAUUCAAUUUAAACACAAUUGUUGAAUUCCUUGCUGUGGGCAAAGGCUUUUUGAUUUCUCCUUCUAUUGAAGUUGUAAUAUCCCUCUUAGCCCGUGAAACUCGCUCUUGCCAGGUGUGUUUCUCAAUUAAUCAGCCUCUCAUUAAUGAUGCCAGCAGAAUUAAUUGUGCUGUCACCACGAGGCUGUAUAUCCAGUUGGGAAUUACGGGGUGAGGCCAGUGGGAUUAAGCACAUUUUGUUUGUGGGGAAAGUUCAUGGGGCUCAAUAAUGAGAUGGGCAUUAUUCUGUCACAAAGGGCAGUUUCAGGCUGGAACAUUUUUUUAACUCUGGAAAUACGAAGGGCAAACACAAGAACUCUUAGGAAAUUUGAAAGCAUUUGUUGACAAUUUAAGGUACAGUCAAGGUUUUCCUCUUUAUCAGCACAGAAAGUACUGCCAAGGAGCCCCCAGACACCAUAAAUCAUCCAGGAGAGUGGAGAGGCUGAGAAGAUUACAAAGGAAAUGCUCUGGGGCAGGCAGCACCCUGAGAAAUCAUUGUUUAGGGCCUGCUGUAUUUAAAAUGGCCAUUUCAGCUGCCAUUAACUCCCAUCCCUAAUUAGAAAAUGGAUUGAUCUUUGCCUAAAGUUGCUGGAGACUGGCAGGUGUCCCUGGCAGAUCAGAGCUCUGCAUACAGAUGAGAUGGUUUCCUGAGCUCACAGGUGGAUAUUUCUGGAAUAAGUGUGCUCUGUUUGAGUGGCUGAACCUCUCACAGCAGGAGAACAUCGACAGGAGGAAGCUGGCAGUGAGUUUGGCAGGCUGAGGUUCCGGGUGAGAGGCUGCCAUGGCCAGGAGAUUCCCAGAUGUGCUGAUGCCUUGAGAGGA